rnacentral:rRNA from 1 species
UGGGGAAUAUUGGACAAUGGGCGCAAGCCUGAUCCAGCCAUGCCGCGUGAGUGAUGAAGGCCCUAGGGUUGUAAAGCUCUUUCACCGGUGAAGAUAAUGACGGUAACCGGAGAAGAAGCCCCGGCUAACUUCGUGCCAGCAGCCGCGGUAAUACGAAGGGGGCUAGCGUUGUUCGGAUUUACUGGGCGUAAAGCGCACGUAGGCGGACUUUUAAGUCAGGGGUGAAAUCCCGGGGCUCAACACCGGAACUGCCUUUGAUACUGGAAGUCGUGAGUAUGGUAGAAGUGAGUGGAAUUCCGAGUGUAGAGGUGAAAUUCGUAGAUAUUCGGAGGAACACCAGUGGCGAAGGCGGCUCGCUGGACCAUUACUGACGCUGAGGUGCGAAAGCGUGGGGGGCAAACAGG